AAACGAAGUAGCAAUACUUAGUGGCAGACGGGUGAGUAACAUGUAGGUAUCUACCCUUUGGCCUGGAAUAACACGAGGAAACUUGUGCUAAUACCGGAUAAGUCUUUACGGAGAAAGCUUUAUGCACCAUUGGAUGAGCCUGCACUUGAUUAGUUUGUUGGUAGGGUAAUGGCCUACCAAGACUGUGAUCAAUAGCUGAUUUGAGAGGAUGAUCAGCCACAUUGGGACUGAGACACGGCCCAAACUCCUACGGGAGGCAGCAGUGGGGAAUCUUGCACAAUGGAGGAAACUCUGAUGCAGCGAUGCCGCGUGAGUGAAGAAGGCCCUUGGGUUGUAAAGCUCUUUCGUCGGGGAAGAAAAUGACUGUACCCGAAUAAGAAGGUCCGGCUAACUUCGUGCCAGCAGCCGCGGUAAUACGAAGGGACCUAGCGUAGUUCGGAAUUACUGGGCUUAAAGAGUUCGUAGGUGGUUGAAAAAGUUAGUGGUGAAAUCCCAGAGCUUAACUCUGGAACUGCCAUUAAAACUUUUCAGCUAGAGUAUGAUAGAGGAAAGCAGAAUUUCUAGUGUAGAGGUGAAAUUCGUAGAUUUAGACAAGGAAUACCCAAUUGCGAA
rnacentral:rRNA from 1 species